ACGAACGCUGGCGGCGUGCCUAACACAUGCAAGUCGAGCGGAGACAGUGAGUAGCUUGCUAUGAGCUGUUUUAGCGGCGGACGGGUGAGUAACGCGUGAGCAACCUUUCCCAGACAGGGGAAUAACACACCGAAAGGUGUACUAAUACCGCAUAAGACCACGGAAUCACAUGGUUCUGAGGUAAAAGAUUUAUCGGUUUGGGGUGGGCUCGCGUCCGAUUAGGUAGUUGGUGAGGUAACGGCCCACCAAGCCGACGAUCGGUAGCCGACCUGAGAGGGUGAUCGGCCACAUUGGGACUGAGACACGGCCCAAACUCCUACGGGAGGCAGCAGUGGGGAAUAUUGGGCAAUGGAGGAAACUCUGACCCAGCAACGCCGCGUGGAGGAAGAAGGUUUUCGGAUCGUAAACUCCUGUCCUUGGAGACGAGUAGAAGACGGUAUCCAAGGAGGAAGCCCCGGCUAACUACGUGCCAGCAGCCGCGGUAAUACGUAGGGGGCAAGCGUUGUCCGGAAUAAUUGGGCGUAAAGGGCGCGUAGGCGGCUCGGUAAGUCUGGAGUGAAAGUCCUGCUUUUAAGGUGGGAAUUGCUUUGGAUACUGUCGGGCUUGAGUGCAGGAGAGGUUAGUGGAAUUCCCAGUGUAGCGGUGAAAUGCGUAGAGAUUGGGAGGAACACCAGUGGCGAAGGCGACUAACUGGACUGUAACUGACGCUGAGGCGCGAAAGUGUGGGGAGCAAACAGGAUUAGAUACCCUGGUAGUCCACACUGUAAACGAUGAAUGCUAGGUGUAGGGGGUAUCGACCCCUUCUGUGCCGCAGUCAACACAAUAAGCAUUCCGCCUGGGGAGUACGGCCGCAAGGUUGAAACUCAAAGGAAUUGACGGGGGCCCGCACAAGCAGCGGAGCAUGUGGUUUAAUUCGAAGCAACGCGAAGAACCUUACCAAGUCUUGACAUCCCUCUGACCGACUCUUAACCGAGUCUUUCCUUCGGGACAGAGGAGACAGGUGGUGCAUGGUUGUCGUCAGCUCGUGUCGUGAGAUGUUGGGUUAAGUCCCGCAACGAGCGCAACCCUUAUGGUCAGUUACUACGCAAGAGGACUCUGGCCAGACUGCCGUUGACAAAACGGAGGAAGGUGGGGAUGACGUCAAAUCAUCAUGCCCCUUAUGACCUGGGCUACACACGUGCUACAAUGGCCACGACAGAGAGAAGCGAAAUCGUAAGGUAGAGCGGAACUCAAAAAAGUGGUCCCAGUUCGGAUUGUGGGCUGCAACCCGCCCACAUGAAGUCGGAGUUGCUAGUAAUCGCGGAUCAGCAUGCCGCGGUGAAUACGUUCCCGGGCCUUGUACACACCGCCCGUCACACCAUGGGAGUUGGGAGUGCCCAAAGCCGGUGAGGCAACCGCAAGGAGCCAGCCGUCUAAGGCAAGACCAAUGACUGGGGUG
rnacentral:rRNA from 1 species